UACGUAGGGCGCAAGCGUUUGUCCGGAAUUAUUGGGCGUAAAGAGCUCGUAGGCGGCCUGUUACGUCUGCUGUGGAAAUCCCGGGGCUUAACCCCGGGCGUGCAGUGGAUACGGGCAGGCUGGAGGCAGGCAGGGGGAGAACGGAAUUCCCGGUGUAGCGGUGAAAUGCGCAGAUAUCGGGAGGAACACCGGUGGCGAAGGCGGUUCUCUGGGCCUG
rnacentral:rRNA from 1 species